UCAAGCGACUAAGUGUAUGCGGCGGAUGCCUUGGCGAUCAUAGGCGAAGAAGGACGUGUAAGCCUGCGAAAAGCUGCGGGGAGUUGGCAAAAGAACUUUGAUCCGCAGAUAUCCGAAUGGGGAAACCCUCCAAUUUAUUGGAAUUCAUAACUGAAUACAUAGGUUAUGAAGGCGAACGCAGUGAACUGAAACAUCUAAGUAACUGCAGGAAAAGAAAUCAACCGAGAUUGCGGAAGUAGCGGCGAGCGAAACCGCACCAGCCUAGUCAUUGAUAAUUCUGAUCAACAGCAGAACGACCUGGGAAGGUCGGCUACAGAGGGUGACAGCCCCGUAUGCGAAGUUGAUGGAAUGGUACUGAGGUGACGAAAAGUAGGGCGGGACACGUGACAUCCUGUCUGAAGAUGGGGGGACCAUCCUCCAAGGCUAAAUACUCAUGAUCGACCGAUAGCGAACCAGUACUGUGAAGGAAAGGCGAAAAGAACCCCGGGAGGGGAGUGAAAUAGAACCUGAAACUGCAUACAUACAAACAGUAGGAGCCCGCAAGGGUGACUGCGUACCUUUUGCAUAAUGGGUCAGCGACUUACGUUUUGCGGCGAGCUUAACCGAGUAGGGGAGGCGCAGCGAAAGCGAGUUCGAACAGAGCGACAGAGUCGUAAGGCGUAGACCCGAAACCAGAUGAGCUAUCCAUGGUCAGGUUGAAGGUGUGGUAACACACACUGGAGGACCGAACCGACCGGUGUUGCAAAACCGGCGGAUGAACUGUGGAUAGGGGUGAAAGGCUUAACAAAUCUGGAGAUAGCUGGUUCUCCCCGAAAACUAUUGAGGUAGUGCCUCGUGAAUGACUGCCGGGGGUAGAGCACUGUUAUGGCUAGGGGGACAUGGCGUCUUACCAAACCAUGGCAAACUCCGAAUACUGGCAAGUUGAAUCACGGGAGACAGAGCACCGGGUGCUAACGUCCGGACUCAAAAGGGAAACAACCCAGACCGCCGUUUAAGGUCCCUAAUAACAGCUAAGUGGAAAACGAAGUGUGAAGGCUAAGACAGUCAGGAAGUUGGCUUAGAAGCAGCCAUCCUUCAAAGAAAGCGUAAUAGCUCACUGAUCGAGUCCUCAUGCGCGGAAGAUGUAACGGGGCUAAGCUGUUAACCGAAAGCGCGGAUUUCCAAGCAAUUGGAAGUGGUAGGGGAGCGUUCUGUAAGCCGACGAAGGUGAUUCGUAAGGAUUGCUGGAGGUAUCAGAAGUGCGAAUGCUGACAUAAGUAACGAUAAAGCGGGUGAAAAGCCCGCUCGCCGUAAGCCCAAGGUUUCCUGCUCUACGUUCAUCGGAGCAGGGUGAGUCGGCCCCUAAGGCCAGGCUGAGAAGCGUAGUCGAUGGGAAGCUGAUUAAUAUUUCAGCACCACUGUUGAGUGCGAAGGGGGGACGGAGUUUUGCAAGUAAUCCGGGUGUUGGAUGUCCCGGUUGGCGAGCGUAGGAGGUGAGCAGGCAAAUCCGCUCACGAAUCUCCGAGACGAAGCCUCGAGGUCCUUUAGGACUGAAGUUACCGAAUGAACUUCCAGGAAAAGCCUCUAAGCUCCAGCUCAACGGUGACCGUACCGUAAACCGACACAGGUGGGCGAGUUGAAUAUACUCAGGCGCUUGAGAGAACUCGGGAGAAGGAACUCGGCAAAUUGACACCGUAACUUCGGGAUAAGGUGUGCCUUGGUAGCGUGAAAGGAGAAACUCCCCAAGCGCGAAGAGGUCACAGAAAAUAGGGGGCUGCGACUGUUUACUAAAAACACAGCACUCUGCAAAGACGAAAGUCGACGUAUAGGGUGUGAUGCCUGCCCGGUGCCGGAAGAUUAAGUGAUGGGGUGAGAGCUCCUGAUCGAAGUCCCGGUAAACGGCGGCCGUAACUAUAACGGUCCUAAGGUAGCGAAAUUCCUUGUC
rnacentral:rRNA from 1 species